rnacentral:rRNA from 1 species
AUUGAACGCUGGCGGCAGGCCUAACACAUGCAAGUCGAACGAGUGGCGGACGGGUGAGUAAUGUCUGGGAAACUGCCUGAUGGAGGGGGAUAACUUCUGGAAACGGUAGCUAAUACCGCAUACCAUCGGAUGUGCCCAGAUGGGAAUAGCUUGUUGGUGGGGUAACGGCUCCCCAAGGCUACGAUCCCUAGCUGGUCUGAGAGGAUGACAAGGCACACUGGAACUGGGACACGGUCCAGAAGCCUACGGGAUGCAGCAGUGGGGAAUAUUGCACAAUGGGCGCAAGCCUGAUGCAGCCAUGCCGCGUGUGUGAAGAAGGCCUUCGGGUUGUAAAGGACGUUCAGCGGGGAGGCGUUACCCGCAGAAGAAGCACCGGCUAACUCCGUGCCAGCAGCCGCGGUAAUUC